rnacentral:rRNA from 1 species
GACAGAGGGUGCAAACGUUGUUCGGAAUUACUGGGCGUAAAGCGCGUGUAGGCGGCCAUCUAAGUCGGGCGUGAAAUCCCACGGCUCAACCGUGGAAGUGCACUCGAAACUGGAUGGCUAGAGUCCUGGAGAGGAAGGUGGAAUGCUUGGUGUAGAGGUGAAAUUCGUAGAUAUCAAGCGGAACACCGGUGGCGAAGGCGGCCUUCUGGACAGUGACUGACGCUGAUGCACGAAGGCCAGGGGAGCAAACGGG